CUCCUUCUUUUGCGCAGCACCAAGCCAGCUGCUUGCCCUCUGUGCCUCACCCUGGGGUAAGAUGGAUGAGUGUUAGGCCACGGGGAGUGCUCUCCUUCUUCAGUCCCCACCAGAGACACAGACUUUAAUUGUGGAACUCUGUAACUCAUAGGGGUACCAGGCAGUCGGGCAGGGCAGGACAUACAGUAGAACAAAGGGUAGCUCAUAGUAGGGAGGGCUCAGCACACAGUGAGGCUGCUCCUGGAGUCCCCCGAAGGUAUCCUAGGUAACCAGGCACCCUGUCCCCAGCUGCUGCUGCUCACAGUUAUCCAGCCUGGCCCCCAGGGCCACUGCUUGGCCACCUGCCCCACAUUGCUGGCCCUGAGCCCUGGCAGCCCCCAGCGCGAAUCAAGAGUCAGCCUGGGUUCCAGAGCCUUAGGAUCUCUGAGCCUCUGACAGUUCCUCCGUCUGCCUGGCAACCUAAGGGCUUCCCACAAGAGGCUCUGGCCCUGCAGAGAUGAAGAGAACCUGCACCCACUGACAUUCUCAAAGAUCACCAUGGCAACAAGACAGCAGCCAGCUGGCAGGAACUGAGGGGCACAGAACAGCAGGCGCGGGUUCCCCCGGGAGAGAAUCAGGCAGCUGGGCACAGGCCAUGUGGGGUUGAGGCUCAGGCCCGUGAGUGUUAAUGAAAGGCAGGUGCUUAGAGGGCAGUGUGGGGCCCCCACAGGGCAGUCACCCUAGUGGGGUGACUUCACCUCUGUCCCCAGGGUCAGCCCUCAGCUGCCCCCUUGUUGAGAGUUGAUGUAGGGCCCCUCCCUACUUGGAGGCUGAGGGGCCCAACCCACUUCUUUACUUAUAGGGCUGGCCUUCCUUGGUGAGGGCCAUUCUACCAAGGAAUAGGGAGACAAACAGGCUAUUCAACUACCCUUCCACGGAGCCUCAGGAGGCUCUACCCUCCUGCAUGUGGCCCAGGAAGGUCCAAGCAGCCACAGAGGAGUCCUUCCUUGUUCUCACCUGAGGCCACUCAAGAAUUCAGUGCCCAGCUCCAAGGUCACCAUGGCAGGAAACUCUUGGCCAUAGCAACGACCCUGCUCCUGCCACAGGCAUCCCACUGCAGGAGGCACAGGAGGGAGAGGAGGAUCCACGGUUCCCCAGGCACUGACAGCUACCCUGCCCAGCUGGGGCUGGAGAUGACAGUUUCUGAUGCUUUAGGGGAAAGGCCCUAACUCCAGGCCCUUCUUUUGUUGAGGACAGUCUACAAGAUGCCUACCUGGGACGCCAUCUUUGUUAAUCUUUUAAGACUUACUAGCCGACUUAUAAAUGCACACAAAAGCCACUUGCAUCAUGUGCUCUGUGUCUGGCUAAAAAAAAAAAA
rnacentral:sRNA from 1 species